rnacentral:rRNA from 1 species
GCGGCAUGUCUAAGGCACGCAAGCCGAAUGCUUAGUUUACUAAGCAUGGCAAACGGGAGAGUAACACGUUGGUAAUCUACCUCUGUCUCAGGGAUAACCCGGAGAAAUCUGGAGUAAUACCUGAUAGGUAUGGGGGGACAUAAGUCAUUCCCAUAUAAAGAUCCGUCGGAUGGAGAGGAGCCUACGGCACAUCAGCUUGUUGGUAAGGUAACGGCUUACCAAGGCUACGACGUGUAGCGGGUGUGAGAGCAUGGCCCGUCUCACUGGAACUGAGAUACUGUCCAGACUCCUACGGGAGGCUGCAGUCGAGAAUCUUCCUCAAUGGACGAAAGUCUGAAGGAGCAAUGCCGCGUGAUCGAUGACGCUUUUCGGAGUGUAAAGAUCUUUUAUCAGGGACGA